rnacentral:lncRNA from 1 species
CUGAAGCCCUGCUCAGGUGAGCGAGUCUUGGCUAAUUGCAGCUAAAACAAAUUCGCCAAACCCAUUAAAGUUCACAGGCUGCAGACCUGUGCAAAAACAUGAUUCAUAGUCAAGAACGUGAUAGUUCUUUUUCCUAAAUCCAGUCCUAAAAUAGUUGGUUUUGGAAGGUGGAGCGGGGGAGGAGGGGAGGAAGUGAGGCGAGGGAGGUGCUUACAUAUUUGUUUAAAUAUUUGAAGUAUUGGUUCAUAACUAGCCAGGAUGAUAUUUGUGGAGCAAGCAAGUAGAGAUCUCCAAAUAUCCCAGAACUUUAAAUUGAACUUAUCGAACUAAGAGAUGUUGGAGAGGGCAAGUCAUGUUUCAUGAGUGUGCUGCAUUGUUGGCGGAAUGUGCUUCUGUCGUAAUUAAGUGCCCUUAUAAUGCUUUGGUUGAGGUUAGGUUGGCUGAUUUAAAGGGGGCUUUCUAGUGAGUGAUGUUCUGGGGUCUCGAUUGAAAUGUGUACGCAGGUGAUGCAGGUUUGGGCAGAGCAAACUGAAUGGCCCUUCACUUCUAGUAUGCUGUGAUGUCAUCAUUCAUUGCUAACGCUGCCUUCCCAUAGACCACUGCCUCAUGGAACUCAUUGUGGUGUCACCAGCCACUAAAAUAGCUGCAUUGCCUUGCCUUGUGUUUGCCAUUCAUCUCGCUGACAAUCCGGAAACACUGCUUUCACCAUUCAGGUAUUCACUGUCCUCACACCACUGUGCAAGAGCUUUCAUGAAAUGAAUGUUGUUGCUGUGUUGGUCCUGGAAUGUGUUUUUGUUGUUUUUUUUUGCUGCAGACUGUCAUACCUGGUAUUGGACCAACAUGAAUAAGACUAAAGUGUUCACAUCUAUUAUUAUUUAUGUUGGCGCAAUGGGAGAAUUGACAGCCUUCAACAGAAAGGAUGUUUGUAAAAAAAUGCCUUUUUUCUUCAUGUAAUGUCCUGCAGCGCCCUCGUAUGUUGAUAAAAAGAAGUGCAUAUUGCAGAAUUGUAAAAGGCGAUCGUUAUGCCGAGGGCGCCUUUUCAUUGCCGGGGUCAGCACCUUACAGGUGACACCUAGGCCUCCAUCUACCAUGAAUGUUCGCAAGCCAGGGUCAGUUAUGCUUUUGUGCACGACACAAGGCGUUGGCCCCCUAAAGUACCCAGCCCACCCUUCCUCCCCAUUUCUCCGUUGCGGGCACUGCCGGUUGCCAUAAACCCGUAGAUCCGAACUUGCGGUAUGAUUCACACACAAGCUCGAGUCUGUGGGUCUGUGUCGGCAUGGCAACAGCAUCCAGGAUUAUGUCACCUCCAGCUCGCUUCCUCCUUCCACUCCUCCCUUUGUUUCCUCCUGCUUAAAACCACCCCUAGAAGAAACAUGUAUGUGUUACGAGCCCAGGGGUAGUGUGACAGAGCGCGAGGAGCCCCGCCAGCGCGGACUCCGAGACUGUCCCACUAGGAAUGCCAUCUCAUUGCUGAGCUCCAUCAAUGCUGUCUCCAUCUCUCUGAGACCGAGUGCUGUUUAUGGGAGACCGAGUGGCCUGUCAGAGCUUCCUUUAAGAGAGUGAAGACCUCCGUCCUUGGAGCCACUGGUAGAGAGUGUUGUCUACAAGGGAUGUCUCAGACAUUAAAUCAGUUGGUUUAAACCUAUGUCUGCAGGCAAUCUGUAAACCGACAAUAGGCUGGCGCUAGUAGCGUUAUAUUAUGUGACAUUGCCCUCGUGUGGCCAAUAUGGGAAUUUUCUUUUAACUCAAGCGGCCGGGCUGGCCGACCUUGAAUGUUGGUCCACUAGCUAAAGCAGUGUGUAUAUUUUGAAACGCGGGGAAAUGUUGACUAGUCUAUAGGUUCAUCGGACAUUUCCUGACCAGGCAGUCCCGGUUAAUAAUGGCAGGCUGGCUUUCCAUUUGAUGAUUUUGUCCAAGCACUACUGACCUUUGCUAAGCAGCGGCCUCCCGGGAGCACCCCCACUCCUCCAUAGGAAAAACAGCCUGUGAUGUACAUGUUGAUGAGUGAUGGGUCCAUGGUCUUUGCGCAACGUUCCCCCAAAAUAUCAUUUUUUGUAUAGACAAUGAUUUUUGUUUUACCAUCGAAAAUGUAAUUUUCAGAUAUAACACACACACAGCCUCCUGGGGAAAAAACAAAAACCAACAUGACGUCAAGGUAUACGGGCCCGCAGGCGCUGGAUUUCCAGUGGAGCUGGGACAGAGACGGUAUGAUCAGAAAGUGGCUGGCAUCAGCCUGCCUGCCCAGUAGCUUCCCAGUGCGCCCUCGGAAUACGUCCGUCUCUGACCAUCAAACCUAGAUCGUGCGGCAGAGCCCAAUCAUUGUCAUUCCAUAAAUAUUAAAAUAUUCUGGCUUGUGCACAGCUUUCAAUUAAUCAUAACCACUGCAAAUCCACGUGGGUAGCUUUUGAAUCCAGUGCCUUUUGGCAUGUUUAUACAAUGGCAGUUCAUUUGCAAGGCUCUCUUUGUUCUGCUUUCUCGUCCCUUUGGCCCUCAAUGACAACAGUCCAGCCUGCACUGCGGGGCCACGCUCCCUGUGUGCAGGACUCCAAUACCGCAGACACCCUUCGGCCUUGCGGGUGGCUCCUCGCGUAAGUGCAAUGCCUGUACGAAUGAAAGGCGGCACUGUCCAAUUGGCCGUUUUUUUGUAAUUACUUCAAAGCUUAUCAUCCAUCUCUUUUUGGUGUUUAUCGAAGCUAACUGGAUGCAACUAGAUAACUAUUUUAAAAGACAAACACGAUAAAGUAUAUUCAGAUAAUGGGCAACUUUCAGCCCAAUAUUUCGAAAACUAUUAAAAUGUCGCGGAUGAUUUUGUGUGUCAAACCCUUUAAAAAAACAAACCAAAAAACACGUGUUUUGUGCCUGGUUUCGACGGCUUAUUAAAGUGUUUCCCUCUUGGCAGCCUGAUGUCCGAAAAUCGAUUUUGGGAAGAUCUUAGUAGAGAAGGACUUUUAUCUAAUGCGCAUUCAUGUUAAAGGCCAGAAUGCCCUUCCUAUGACAUUGUUUAAGUGUUGGUAGGUUCAUUUGAGCCAGUUCUUUCAGAACUUGUUUUUGGGGAGGUUUGCUGCAAAUCUGUCCAUUGUAGUGAACUUGUGUAAUGCUGCCAUCUCUAGGCCAAACUGGGUACUUACAGGUGACUAAGAUUGCAACGAUGAAAUGGGGUUAAGCUGUAUAACGGCAAUCUAUUGCUAAUGUUUCCUAAGAAAGUGGUAUUACCUUCUGAAAUGCAUGGGUUAAAGUACCCCCUACGAUGCGUUAUACCGAUAUUGCUAGUUGCUGAGGGAUCCUGUUAGCGUACAGUAAAACGUGUUGCAAUGCUCCCCGAGAUCCGCUAUCUGGUCUGGGUAUCAGAGCUGAUAUGAAAUACCCCCAUUAAAUAGAGCUAGGGGUAUUUUAUUCUCUACAGUAUCCGAUUCACCCCCCCCCCGCUUUUACUACUUGUUCACAUUGAUGCAAGCGAUCUUUGUUAUGUAGAGUGCACUUUGAAUCUGCAAGUCUGUGAUGCAAUGCAAACACACGCAUGACGCUGUGUAAUCCUCUUUUUAAUAAAAGCCAGCUAAAACGAAGUAGCUUAAAAUAAGUGUUAGUGUGCAGAUAGGUCCCUGCUCCCCUGUACCGACAUCCAGCAGUGCAUUAAAGAAAGAUAAAACAUUUGGGUGGGACCUGGCCUGAUUUGCAUAUGGCCUUUCCCCUUUUGUAAUGGCCUUUUUGUAAUGGCUGCGAAAAACGAUGGUCUGGAGGGUUGCACAGAGAAAGGCCAGAGAUGAAGAUCGAUUCUAAACCUUCCAGCCAUCAGCUUUUUUGUUUUGCUUAAGAAACAAAUCGGCAUAAACUUCCUCAGAUCAACUUUAUGCAUCACUUGCCAGACAGAGAAAGAAAGCACAGAAUGAUGCAAUAUGCACGGCAGCUGGAAUUCUGCUUAUGCAGCUGCUGUUGACUAUAGCAACAGGCUCCUAGACAUUACCACUCAGCCUUAAGUUAUUACAGUUCAGAAGUGAUGUCUCUUUUAAUUACAGGUGAGUAGUGAUGCCAACGUUAAACUGCAAUAAAAACUUUGAGGACAUGGACUUCCAUAGAUAGCACAGGUAUUAUGUUCAGAGACUGAUGUUUUUUUUUUGGCGGGGGGUGGGGGACUUAGCCAAUGUGCUGCUCAGUGGCCGUUGUUAAAAAAUGUCAUUUUAUGAUUUACAUUCUCUUCACCUUGACUUCUUUCCCCCCGCCUUCCAUGAAGCUGCGCACGCCUCUCGGUGCUGUGAAGUCACGCAGAGCCUGCGGCACAGCCCUGUCCGCUCUCUGCAGGCCACAUGUUUGAAACCUGGCUUUCCAUCCCUCUGAAGGCCAUGCAGUGAGCCUUUGUGUCCCCAUGCUACACUCCCUGCUCGGCUCGUUGUCUUCUGCUUCCAUGCUGUGCAUUCCCCAUUUCGCUGAUGAUGCUUUUGUUUUGUUUGAGGUUUUGGCCACAGCCAGACUUUGAGCCCCUGGGAAUGGAACAGCUUAAAGCGACAGGUAAGAAUUGCGAUGCUUUGCUAGAGCUGUGUUUGGGGUUCUCAGUGCUGGUUGCCAGGGUUGGGGUGCACUGGUAAACAUGUGUUGUGGGUUCUGGAUAAGUAUGUGUAUAUCGUGGGGGUGCCAGGUUGGGCUUAGGCACAUUUGCAGAGCAUCAAGGUAUAUUCCUAGAGCCUUAUGGGGUUAAAGUUGUAAAAUACUGAGGAAAUUGCAUGCAUAAAUGCUGGGGGAGCUGGGUGCCGAUGUGUGAAACAGGAGGACACAAGGAGCUACCUCAGCACACCGCUGAUGAAGGAUCGCAAGCCUCUGCGCACAGGACUUGGGCCUGGGUCCUGGGAGCACCGUUCCCCUCCCUGCGGCGUGCUUCGGGCUGAGGUAGUAGGUUGUAUAGUUUAGAAUAACAUCUGAGGAGAUAACUGUACAAUCUUCUAGCUUUCCCUGCGGCAUGGCCAUGGCAACGCGCUACCGCGACUCCACCACGGAAGGGGAGUCACCCCACCAGAACACUUGAGCACACCAGAAAUGGUUUUGAAAAUGUGUAACGUUUGUGUUUAACAUUUCCAUUGGGCAAAUGCAAGUUAUUUUCUAUAUGACGGUUCUUUUUUGGGGUUGUUGAAAAGAUUGAUGUGAAAAUGUUGCACAUUUUUACUUGUUCCUGUCCUUUCUUGCAGCUGCAUUUUAUUGCCACAGAAAUAACCCAAACCCAUAUUUUGGGAAAAAUUGCCUAUGAUUCUUGUUUUUCAAUGGCCAUCUCUUGAAACGCCACAGCGAAAAAGGGGUGCUUCAGUUGCAGAAGCCUGCAUAGUCUAGCUCAUGCCACAAUUGCAGGUGUUGGCAAAACUCCCUGUGCAUCCUCCAGUAAAACGAUUAUGAAGACCUAAAAAUGGGUCUCGACAGUAACUAGGGAAGGACAAUAUUUUUAUAUCUGUAUUUUUUAAAACAGUAAAAUUAGGUUGUUGGAUGAGUACAAAAGAUGUGCCUUCUCUUACACCAACACCAUGAACCCUUUUGAGAAACCCAAUAAGCUAAGUUAGACUCAAUUCUUGUCAUGUCCACAUACUUGCAAACAUUAUUUUGAAGAAAUGUUAGCCAAAAAUGGAGACUAUUCUGAAAAGGUCAAUAUUUCUCAACAUUUGUAGUAAAAAAGAGUGAGACAGCAACAGCAUUAAUUUAUUUCACAUAUAUUGUACUUCAAUAGGAACAAAUAUAUAAAUAAUAUCAACGCAGCUGAAAGUAAGCCAACCGCCAGACAAUUGAAGUUAAUUCAGUGUCUGCUGAGCCACAGUCUACACAGGGAAUGAUAGCGUGGCUGUGCUUCGCUCAUGGUUUCAAUCUCUGUGUAGUUUACAGCAAGGGGAUUUUUAAGAAAACACAGUUCAUGUAAUGAAAUUUCAAUCACAUUAGUUAUUUGCCAAAUUUAGGAAACUGCUGUCGUUCUAAUUUGUUCACACAGAAAUAAUCAAUGCUUGAUCUCAAAUCCACAAUGGUCACUGUGUUGGGAUAUUCUCUUUGUUGCACACUGAGAACAUGCACGCUGGUGCACAGGAUCCUUGAAGCCCUAAUGGAACAGUUCUUUAGUUAAGCUUCAUUAUUCAGCCCACACUCCAUUUACAUGUUUCAAGAAAUGCGAUAAUCGAAGUAUUUUCGACUUAUCCAAUUAACAAAAAUGUAGGGUCAGCGCAGCAUCAGACCUAAUAACUUCAUCCAUCUUAAGAGAAAUCCACUAAGAUUAAGUAGAAGACCUCAGUGAGUCAUGAGUGGUUUUGAUGAUCAGUUGUUUGGGGCUGUCUUCAUUAAUCAAAACCCUUUUGUUGGGGAUUUAAUGCGUUUUUAAUGUACAUUUCAUUGUGGGCAGGGGAGGCAUGUCCUGCGCCUCCUUGUCUACUUUAUAGUUGAGUGUUUAGCGUUCUGGUGGGAGGAGUGUAUUUGCUUUGUUAUCCGAAGCUUGCAGCUUUGACGCUCCUACCUUGAUUCAGGUUCAAACUAUAUAAUAUGACUGAGAAGCGAAGGGGGCGGGGUUGAUGAAAUAAUAUUCAUUUUAAUGGGGCCCUCCAGUUUCUGAAGACCUCACUGCUAUGCACUUUUACUCCCUAGAAAUUGGCCAAUGCGCCCCAAAAAUAGGA